AGUGAACGCUGGCGGUAGGCCUAACACAUGCAAGUCGAACGGCAGCGCAGUAAGAGCUUGCUCUUACGGGUGGCGAGUGGCGGACGGGUGAGGAAUACAUCGGAAUCUACUUUUUCGGGGGGGAUAACGUAGGGAAACUUACGCUAAUACCGCAUACGACCUACGGGUGAAAGCAGGGGAUCUUCGGACCUUGCGCGAUUGAAUGAGCCGAUGUCGGAUUAGCUAGUUGGCGGGGUAAAGGCCCACCAAGGCGACGAUACGUAGCCGGUCUGAGAGGAUGAUAAGCCACAUUGGAACUGAGACACGGUCCAGACUCCUACGGGAGGCAGCAGUGGGGAAUAUUGGGCAAUGGGCGCGAGCCUUAUCCAGCCAUACCGCGUGUGUGAAGAAGGCCUUCGGGUUGUAAAGCCCUUUUGUUGGGAAAGAAAAGCAGCAGGUUAAUACCCCGCUGUUCUGACGGUACCCAAAGAAUAAGCACCGGCUAACUUCGUG
rnacentral:rRNA from 1 species